AAGUGAGUCCUGUUCAGCGUGGGAGGAAAUAACACAAGAGGCAAAGAUCACUCGGGACCACCUUGUAUAUUGGCUACCACAGAACCCAACACAAGCAGUAAGUUAAAAUCAUGAAGCUCCUGACGUCAGAGGACAUGGCUCUGCCAUUUGUUAGGUAGGGAUCCUGUUAAAGGCUCAGCUUCCUCAUCUGGAAAUGGAAAUAUAGGCCUUGCCUGGUUUGCUGUAAUGGGUCGUGAUGAGGACCAAACUACAAAGAGUGGUACAGAUGUUAAUUACAAUGAUUUUUCCUAUGCCACCCAUGGAAACAAAAAUAGCAAGAUAGAGAAGGCUAAAUCCCAGUUUUUUUUGACUGCUAUUCAGCAAAGCCUAGGAGACUUUCAUGACACCUGGAGAGGCGGCCGUAGUGUAUGUGUAAGAGUACCGGUUCCAGAGUGGGGCUCCCCGAGCUCAGCCCCACCACUUACCAACAGCGGACCUUGGGCCAGAUGCUGAAGCCCUUUGUGCCUUGGUUUCCUGACCUAUUACUGUGGAAAUGAUGACAGUACCCUCCUCAUGGCAUCGUGAGAAUUAAAUUAGCUAAUUCAGGUGAAGCAUUUAGAAGAGGACCUCCUGACACUUAAUAACUGCUUGAUAUAAAUAAUAGCUUCUGCUACAGAGUGGCCAUGAAGUCUGGACAUGUAGAUAUUAUAUUAUCAUGCAUCAUAAGGUAGUUGAUCUGGUGUGAGAUUCCAACCUCGUGUGAGAGAGGAGAAGACCUUCAUUACACUAAUUCAUGCUGGCCCAGCCUCCAGGCCACCCCAGAUGUGAGGUGCUGUUAACACUGCUCUCAGAGAUGGAGUCUUGCUCUGUCUCCCAGGCUGGAGUGCAGUGGUGUAAUCUCGGCUCACUGCAACCUCUGCCUCCCGGGUUCAAGUGAUUCUCCUGCCUCAGCCUCGGAGUAGCUGGGACCACAGCACUGCAAUGAAUGCUGCUGCACACGCUGUUGAGCUCGUGGACACUUUCCUGCUGGGUGAGGACCCGAACGUGAAAUUGCUGGGUCAUGGAUUCAAGUGCUACACAUAUUUUUGACCACAUUACUGUGACUCAGGAAGCCCAGGAACAGAAUUCUAGGCACCAGAACCAUACAUGUUACAGCCUCUGAGCUUUAUGGCCUCUGAGCCAUUUGUCCAGCCACAUCAUUUGCAGAUGAGAUCCUGAGACUCAGGCUGGAAAAGUGACCGGGGAAAAGUCACACAAGUCAGAGGCAGAGCUGGAGUUUCCUCAUUUCCAGGCCCGUAUAGAUCAAGACGGACGUUGGUCAAACACCUCCUAGUACUCACAUGAAGAAGCUCUCCUUUCUGCUGUAGGAAUGAUCACACACCAUUCCAAUCUGGAUACCAAAUGUCAUUGUUUAUUAAAUGUGUGCAGUGUG
rnacentral:lncRNA from 1 species